UUUCAGUCAUAGGUUUCUACUCAAAAGUGUGCUGCAGCUCCCCAUCUCCAACAGCCAGAAGACCAGAUUUGUUACUGGAAUGUUAAGAUCCCCAUCGGUAAGAAUGUCCAAAGCAAAGCAGCUUGCUGGAAUCAAGACAGAAUCACCUGUUCCAUGGGUUAAUCAAUGGAAAGGAGUGACAGCUUGUGUACCGCCAACAGGUAGGUACAGAAGGGUUGAAGGAACGCAUUCAUUUUGUCAUUCAUUUAU
rnacentral:lncRNA from 1 species